rnacentral:lncRNA from 1 species
GCACACAUGUCCUCAUGGAUCUCCAGUUUGGUUCCUCCACCUGGGUGUGCCAGGUCACUGGGGUCCUCAGCCUGGGUCUGUGUACCCAGCCUUGCCCAGCACCACGCGGCUCUACUGUCCUCUGGCAUUUCCUGUGUAUGUUGUCAUGCAGAUACCACGGCUGCCCUAGUCAGCUCCUACCCUUAUGUCUUUUCAUGUGUGUCGUCUCUUACCCUGUGUAAACAUCACUGUCCUUGUGACACCAGCACUAACCACGGUGUGCUCUGCUUGGCACACCAGGACAUGUUCUCUCAGUUGACUUUUUGUUCUCCACCAGCCUCUAGGAGGCCAGGGUGGUGGUGCUGCUAGGCCACCCGAAUGUUAGGCUUGUGGGUAAUUCCCAGGCCUUGUCAUUCAAGCUGCACACAGUGAGUCAUUAAAGUUUGUCAUAGAA